rnacentral:lncRNA from 1 species
AGGUGGCUGGGCAGAUGGGGCGGGAUGGCUUGACAGCCACAUCGUGAGUGGCCUGAGGCUGGGCUGGGGAGGUGUCCAUGGGAACCGACAGGCGGAGGAUGCAGAAAAACAGGAGGGAGGAAAAACGCGACUCUUGGUUGAAUUCCUGACAGGAGGAGAGGAGCUGGGUCCACCUGGGUGAGGAGGGACAGGAGGCCGGCAGGGGGCGCUGUCCACAGCGGAACCAGGUGAGGUCGGCUGCUGGGAGGGGGGACCCCCCCCGCCCCAGGAGGCGCGGGGAGAUGGGACACAGGCCUGGGGUCAGGCCCUCGGACAUGUUCAACUUGGAAGUGUUCGCCUUGGGGCCCCAGGUGAGGC